UCGAGGAUCUUCGGCAAUGUGCGCAAGCAUGACCGAGCGACGCCGCGUGUGCGACGAAGGCCUUCGGGUUGUAAAGCACUGUCGAGGGGGAGAAAAGCCGUAAAAUCGGCCUGAUCUAUCCCUGGAGGAAGCACGGGCUAAGUUCGUGCCAGCAGCCGCGGUAAGACGAACCGUGCGAACGUUGUUCGGAAUCACUGGGCUUAAAGGGUGCGUAGGCGGGCCACAAAGUCCGGGGUGAAAUCCUCCAGCUUAACUGGAGAAUGGCCUUGGAUACUGGUGGCCUCGAGGGAGGUAGGGGAGCGCGGAACUGAUGGUGGAGCGGUGAAAUGUGUUGAUAUCAUCAGGAACGCCGGUGGCGAAAGCGGCGCUCUGGACCUCAUCUGACGCUGAGGCACGAAAGCUAGGGGAGAGAACGGGAUUAGAUACCCCGGUAGUCC
rnacentral:rRNA from 1 species